AUUCCCGGGGUGAUACAUGCUUGUGUGCUACUGAGCUUGAGCGACAGCCAUUAAAGAUCUCCUGUCUCCUUCAGUUUUCAGUAGUUGAAGGGUUGAAGGUGAAGUUGGUUUGUUGUUUGUUUAUCCUUUAUUUUAUCGCGUCAUCAAGUUGAUGAUGAUUUUUGAUUGCUGAAGGUCUUAAAUUAAGAUGAAGGUGGGAAUAGAACUGCAGAUACAUAUUAUACUAAAAUCCACCAUGACAGAUGAAUAUGAUGCCAAGGAUUAGAUUUGAAAAAAGUUCUUCUCCUCUCUACAUUUGAUGAAAGCCAUUUUCAGCAAAGGUGGGAAUAGAACUGCAGACGCAUAUACAAAAAUCCACCAUGACAGACGAAUAUGCUACCAACUACAGUUUUAGAUUUAAAACUCCUUUCUACAUCUGAUGGAAACCAUUUCCAGACCAAGAGCAGAGAGACUACGCCUCAUGAAGCUCAAAUCGAGGACGAUAGCAGUUCAAAGUAAAAAUAUAUAAUUAGUUAUAAAUUGCAAGUUCAAUUUUUGUAAUAUUUAAUAAAAAUCAUUGCAUUUUAUU